rnacentral:rRNA from 1 species
GAUGAACGCUGGCGGCGUGCCUAAUACAUGCAAGUCGAGCGAACAGACGAGGAGCUUGCUCCUCUGACGUUAGCGGCGGACGGGUGAGUAACACGUGGAUAACCUACCUAUAAGACUGGGAUAACUUCGGGAAACCGGAGCUAAUACCGGAUAAUAUAUUGAACCGCAUGGUUCAAUAGUGAAAGACGGUUUUGCUGUCACUUAUAGAUGGAUCCGCGCCGCAUUAGCUAGUUGGUAAGGUAACGGCUUAACAAGGCAACGAUGCGUAGCCGACCUGAGAGGGAGAUCGGCCACACUGGGACUGAGACACGGUCCAGACUCCUGCGGGAGGCAGCAGUAGGGAAUCUUCCGCAAUGGGCGAAAGCUUGACGGAGCAACGCCGCGUGAGUGAUGAAGGUCUUCGGAUCGUAAAACUCUGUUAUUAGGGAAGAACAAAUGUGUAAGUAACUAUGCACGUCUUGACGGUACCUAAUCAGAAAGCCACGGCUAACUACGUG